CUCGUAGGCGGCCAACUAAGUCACACGUGAAAUCCCCAGGCUUAACCUGGGAACUGCGUGUGAUACUGGAUGGCUUGAAUUCGGGAGAGGGAUGCAGAAUUCCAGGUGUAGCGGUGAAAUGCGUAGAUAUCUGGAGGAAUACCGGUGGCGAAGGCGGCAUCCUGGACCGACAUUGACGCUGAGGAGCGAAAGCUAGGGGAGCAAAC
rnacentral:rRNA from 1 species